GGAUGCGAUCAUACCAACACUAAAGCAUCGGAUCUCAUGAGAACUCCGGAUUUAAGCAUGCUUGGGGGAGAGUAAUAUUAGGAUGGGUGAUCUUCUGUGAAGUCCUCGUGUUGCAUUCC
rfam:Triticum urartu cultivar G1812 contig916109, whole genome shotgun sequence.